GACGAACCGUGCGAACGUUGUUCGGAAUCACUGGGCUUAAAGGGCGCGUAGGCGGGUUCGCAAGUCUGUAGUGAAAGCCUCCAGCUUAACUGGAGAAGUGCCAUGGAUACUGCGCAUCUUGAGGAGGGUAGGGGCGUCUGGAACGGUCGGUGGAGCGGUGAAAUGCGUUGAUAUCGACCGGAACUCCGGUGGCGAAGGCGAGGCGCUGGACCCUUUCUGACGCUGAGGCGCGAAGGCCAGGGGAGCAAACGGG
rnacentral:rRNA from 1 species